rnacentral:rRNA from 1 species
UACAGAGGUCUCAAGCGUUGUUCGGAUUCAUUGGGCGUAAAGGGUGCGUAGGUGGCGGGGCAAGUUUGGUGUGAAUCCCGGGGCUCAACCUCGGAACUGCACUGAAUACUGCCUUGCUUGAGCACUGGAGAGGGAACUGGAAUUUACGGUGUAGCAGUGAAAUGCGUAGAUAUCGUAAGGAAGACCAGUGGCGAAGGCGAGUUCCUGGACAGUUGCUGACACUGAGGCACGAAGGCUAGGGGAGCAAACGGG